rnacentral:rRNA from 1 species
CCUACGGGAGGCAGCAGUGAGGAAUAUUGGUCAAUGGGCGGGAGCCUGAACCAGCCAAGUCGCGUGAGGGAAGACGGUCCUAUGGAUUGUAAACCUCUUUAGGCGGGGAGCAAUGCCGGGCACGCGUGCCCGGAGGGAGAGUACCCGCAGAAUAAGCAUCGGCUAACUCCGUGCCAGCAGCCGCGGUAAUACGUAGGAUGCGAGCGUUAUCCGGAUUUAGUGGGUUUAAAGGGUGCGUAGGCGGAUUUUUAAGUCAGCGGUAAAAUGUCCGGGCUCAACCCGGGCCGGCCGUUGAAACUGGGGAUCUUGAGUGGGCGAGAAGUAUGCGGAAUGCGUGGUGUAGCGGUGAAAUGCAUAGAUAUCACGCAGAACUCCGAUUGCGAAGGCAGCAUACCGGCGCCCGACUGACGCUGAGGCACGAAAGCGUGGGGAUCGAACAGGAUUAGAUACCCCUGUAGUC